UUAAACUGAAGAGUUUGAUCAUGGCUCAGAUUGAACGCUGGCGGCAGGCUUAACACAUGCAAGUCGAGCGGUAGCAGGGAUUAGCUUGUUCCUUUGGUGACGAGCGGCGGACGGGUGAGUAACGCGUAGGAAUCUGCCUGGUAGUGGGGGACAACAUGUGGAAACGCAUGCUAAUACCGCAUACGCCCUACGGGGGAAAGGAGGGGAUCUUCGGACCUUUCGCUAUCAGAUGAGCCUGCGUGAGAUUA
rnacentral:rRNA from 1 species